UACGUAGGUGACAAGCGUUGUCCGGAUUUACUGGGCGUAAAGAGCGCGCAGGCGGUCGUUCAAGUCGAGUGUGAAAGCCCCCGGCUCAACUGGGGAGGGUCACUCGAUACUGAUCGACUCGAAGGCAGGAGAGGGUAGUGGAAUUCCCGGUGUAGUGGUGAAAUGCGUAGAUAUCGGGAGGAACACCAGUGGCGAAGGCGACUACCUGGCCUGUUCCUGACGCUGAGGCGCGAAAGCUAGGGGAGCAAACGGG
rnacentral:rRNA from 1 species